AGCGUUCAGAGAUGUGAUAGCAGGUUGCAUUCAGAAAUGUGAUAGCAGGAUGUGUUCAGAGACGUGACAGCAGGUUACAUUCAGAAAUGUGAUUGCAGGAUGCGUUCAGAGACGUGACAGCAGGUUGCGUUCAGAGAUGUGAUAACAGGUUCCGUUCAGAGACGUGACAGCAGGUUGCAUUCAGAAAUGUGAUAGCAGGACGCGUUCAGAGACGUGACAGCAGGUUGCGUUCAGAGACGUGAUAGUAGGUUGCGUUCAGAAAUGUGAUAGCAGGUUGCGUUCAGAGACGUUACAGCAAGUUGCAACUUGCAUUCAGAAAUGUGAUAGCAGGAUGCGUUCAGAGAUGUGAUAGCAGGUUCCGUUCAGAGAUGUGGUAGCAGGUUGCGUUCAGAGACACCAGUGUUUGUGUUGUGUUUGUCUCUGUUGCAAAAUGACAGAUGGAUUUUUUUUCUCUCUGGGCUGGCAGUGCCAGCGAACUUUGAUUUGUUUUUGGAUUUAAGGAUUUUGGGUGUUUGUUUCAUCUUUUGUUUCUGUGACAAAAAAGGAUGUUUGGGUAGUAGGGAUGG
rnacentral:lncRNA from 1 species